CUCGGAGAACUAAAUGUGAAGAUCUUAUCUGAGUCAAUUGUGUCAAAGAAGGUAGGGGAUAGAGGUAGGUGUUAUUGGGAUUUGAAGAUGUCCAGUUAUUGAAUUUUUUUCUAAUUUAUUCAAAAUAAAAAUGUAACAAAUCCAAUUCUUGGCUCAUUCAAAUGUAAAGUCCAUAAGUCAUUUUUGUUAUAAUUUUUUCAAGAAUUAUAAUAGGAGUGGGAAUUGGAG
rnacentral:lncRNA from 1 species